AGCCCGCGCCCCGUAAAAAGGGACGGCCCGCCCGAGGACCCCUAAACUCUGUUUUUAGUGGAACUUCUGAGUAAAACAAACAAAUAAAUCAAAACUUUCAACAACGGAUCUCUUGGUUCUGGCAUCGAUGAAGAACGCAGCAAAAUGCGAUAAGUAAUGUGAAUUGCAGAAUUCAGUGAAUCAUCGAAUCUUUGAACGCACAUUGCGCCCGCCAGUAUUCUGGCGGGCAUGCCUGUUCGAGCGUCAUUUCAACCCUCAAGCUCAGCUUGGUGUUGGGACUCGCGGUAACCCGCGUUCCCCAAAUCGAUUGGCGGUCACGUCGAGCUUCCAUAGCGUAGUAAUCAUACACCUCGUUACUGGUAAUCGUCGCGGCCACGCCGUAAAACCCCAACUUCUGAAUGUUGACCUCGGAUCAGGUAGGAAUACCCGCUGAACUUAAGCAUAUCAAUAAGCG
rnacentral:rRNA from 1 species